GGAAAAGGAACAGAAAGGGCGUAUGGUGGAUGCCUUGGCUUAAAAAGGCGAUGAAGGACGCGGCGUGGCGGCGAUACGCUCCGGGGAGGUGCCAAGCAACCUUCGAUCCGGAGAUGUCCGAAUGAGGAAACUCAACGGAAAGAAAUUUUCGUUAUCUUGGCGUAUGCCAAGAAGUGCACCUCGGGAAGUGAAACAUCUCAGUACCGAGAGGAAAAGAGACUAAAUAAGUAUUUCGUAAGUAGCGGCGAGCGAAAGCGAAAAAGCCCAAACUCGAGAAACUAGAUUCUGAACGCUGAGCGAUCAGUGUUUAGGAUCUAGUACAUCUCGGGGGUUAUAAGGCAGUUAUAGGCACUUCGAGUGCCAAGAAGUUACAAAUUGUUAGUUAGCCGAACGUGCUGGAACGCAUGGCCCCAGAGGGUGAAAGCCCCGUAGGCGAAAACGAAACAACUUCUUAAUUGUCCUUGAGUAUCUCAAGACACGAAUAGCUUGAGUGAAUUUGCCGGAACUAACCGGUAAGGCUACAUACUUUUUAAGACCGAUAGUGAACCAGUACCGUGAGGGAACGGUGAAAAGCACCCCGGUGAGGGGAGUGAAAUAGAACUGAAACCAUAUGUCUACAACGAGUCGAAGAGGUCGCAAGACCUCGACGGCGUGCCUAUUGAAGAAUGAGCCUGCGAGUUUAUGUGUACUGCGCAUGACUAAGGGCGAGAGCCCGGAGUCGAAGGGAAACCGAGUGUGAAUAGCGCGUUUGUAGUACGCAUAAGACCCGAAGCAAGGUGAGCUUGCCAUGAGCAGGGUGAACACAGCCGAAAGGUUGUGGGAGGCCCGAACCGGUUAGCCGUGCAAAACUAUCGGAUGACUUGUGGUAAGGAGUGAAAAGCUAAUCGAACCUUGUAAUAGCUGGUUCUCUCUGAAACAACUUUUGGGUUGGCGUCGUAUCAAUUGACUAGUGGGGGUAGAGCACUGGAAGGAUCAAAUAGGGAGCAAUCUCGUUGAUCCUAUCAAACUCCGAAUACCGCUAGUGAUAUACGGCAGUUAGUACGUGGGGGCUAAGCUCCACCGUACAAAAGGAGAAGAGUCCUAGAUCUCAAGUUAAGGUCCCAAAAUUUACGUUAAGUACAUCACAAGGAGGUGGAAUCUCACAGACAAUGAGGAGGUUGGCUUAGAAGCAGCCAUCCUUGAAAGAAAGCGUAACAGCUCACUCAUCGAGAGA
rfam:Candidatus Adlerbacteria bacterium RIFCSPLOWO2_01_FTLL_51_16 rifcsplowo2_01_scaffold_13628, whole genome shotgun sequence.